rnacentral:rRNA from 1 species
GAUGAACGCUAGCGGCAGGCUUAAUACAUGCAAGUCGAGGGGCAGCAUGGUGUAGCAAUACACUGAUGGCGACCGGCAAACGGGUGCGGAACACGUACAGAACCUUCCUUCGAGCGGGGAAUAGCCCAGAGAAAUUUGGAUUAAUACCCCAUAGUACAACGGAGUGGCAUCGCUUUGUUGUUAAAGAUUUAUCACUUGAAGAUGGCUGUGCGGCUGAUUAGGUAGUUGGCGGGGUAACGGCCCACCAAGCCUGCGAUCAGUAACUGGUGUGAGAGCACGACCAGUCACACGGGCACUGAGACACGGGCCCGACUCCUACGGGAGGCAGCAGUAAGGAAUAUUGGUCAAUGGACGAAAGUCUGAACCAGCCAUGCCGCGUGGAGGAUGAAGGUCCUCUGGAUUGUAAACUUCUUUUAUAUGGGACGAAAAAGGCCUUUCUAGGUCGUCUGACGGUACCAUAUGAAUAAGCACCGGCUAACUCCGUGCCAGCAGCCG